CCAUCUCCUCCACCCCCAGUCUACAAAUACAAAUCACCUCCACCGCCAGUUUACAAGUACAAAUCACCUCCACCACCAUACAAGUACCCAUCUCCUCCACCGCCACCGUACAAGUACCCCUCUCCACCACCCCCAGUUUACAAAUACAAAUCCCCUCCACCCCCAGUUUACAAGUAUAAGUCUCCUCCUCCUCCUGUUCAUUCACCACCUCCACCACACUACAUCUACGCAUCCCCGCCUCCUCCAUAUCACUACUAGAUAGUGCUUUUGCAUAGUGUUCCUCGUGGUUAUUUAUGAAGAAUAUGUGCCAAUAAAGAACGUUGUUGAUAGAAAGAAGAUGCAUUUUGCAUUCCCACAAGGAAAACAACGGAAGCAAAGUUUCCGAGCGUUUUGUCUCAUAAGAAGAAAGACGUGUGUCAAUCCUUUUCUUUUUCGUUUGUAUUGUUCAUCCAUUAUUAUUGUAUUUUUAUACAGUUGUAAGGCACUUCUUUGCUUUCUCUAAUUGAACAUCACAUGAAUGCAUUUUGGUUGUGAAGCAAACUUAAUAAUAAAUAAAAAAGAAUGCUUUCUC